GGAAAGCUGAAACUUAUAUGGAAGCAUCCUGGGUUAGUGUAGAUUUAAGUUUGUUUAAAUCAUGACCCCUGGGGGUAGGGCGGGGCCAAAAUGGCCGACCAAAGUUUUACAUAGAAAUAUAUAGGAAAAUUCUUUAAAAAUCUUCUUCUCAAGAA